rnacentral:rRNA from 1 species
GACAGAGGGUGCAAACGUUGUUCGGAAUUACUGGGCGUAAAGCGCGCGCAGGUGGUGUGGUCAGUCUGUCGUGAAAUCUCCCGGCUCAACUGGGAGGGUGCGGUGGAGACGGCCAGACUAGAGGCACUCAGAGGCCGGUGGAAUUCCCGGUGUAGUGGUGAAAUGCGUAGAGAUCGGGAGGAACACCAGUGGCGAAGGCGGCCGGCUGGGGGUGACCUGACGCUGAGGCGCGAAAGCGUGGGGAGCGAACCGG